CACAAAAAUCUUGAGCACACGAUCUCAUCUAUAAACCCUAAUAUCCAAAGGUAACAAAAUCAUCUUCUUCAAUCGAAUUCCUUCAAACCCUAAGAAUCGAACUCAUCUUCCUGCAAUCGAAUUCUGCAAUCGAAUCCCUAACCCAUAACCCAUAAAUUAUCUUCUCUCCACCAUAUACGCAUCAAUUAAUCUUUCACAAUUCGUACUCGUUUGUCACCGUGCUCGUCACAACGUUCGCGUUGCGCUGUCACAACUCAAACCAUCGUUAUUAAGGUUUUGCUUUCUUAGGUGUGGUUUUGUGCAUUCAUUUUUCAAUAUGGUACAUAACUUAUCAACACUGCACAUCAAGAGUACUACUAGUACAACUAUGUGAGGUGACUCAUUAUACAUAAUCUCAAGGAAGAGGGUUUAUUGAAGGACCUCAAUUCACAAGAAGGUGACAAUGAAGAUGUAAAGAGUUACGGUCAGACUUUAUAAUAUGCAGAUAUUUAUAAUUAUAAUUUAUAAGUUAUCAUUAAGGGUUAAUUUGUUUGGCAGGGUGGAGGGUAGGAUUGAAUUUUUCUGCUUUAGGCUGCUCAUACAUAUUAGAGCAUAACUUUGGCUUAAUUUAAUUUAUUUGAGAUCAUUUGGCAAAUGUGUUGGGGACUUUCAUCACUGAAUGGGAUGAGUGAAAGGCUAAUUGUGAUAUACUGCUUUCAACAAAGGAGUCUGCACGAAUGUAUGUAGAAUGUCUGGCAGAGCUUGCUGUUCAUUUAGGCUUCGAUGGGUGGCUAGUAUAUAUUUCGUCAUCUCUGUGCUUAUAAAGUUUCUAUUCUUAUCUAUUUGAAAUUUCUAUUAAUAAUCUGUGUAUCAUUUUCAUUGUGGCAGGCUUUAAGAAUAGAGCCAUAAGAUACAUGUGUUAAAAGAUUGACUAGUUCUAUAUCACAAUAUAUGGUUUGGUACUUCUUUCUACAAUUGAUAUCUUUUGUACAUAUGCUCCAGGUCUUGAUCUGUCAUUCCAGUGGAAUAAUUGAUUAAAUUAAUAAGAAAUUAUUAAGUGUAAUUAUUACUUGUUUUGAUCAUUUUGGUUUUGUAGAUUUGGCUCCAAAGCAUAUGAAUCUUUUGAGUAUAUUGUUUCAAAAGUGCCCAGUCUAAGGCUUCAUGAGCAAUCAACGUACACCCAACAAAAUGGAGUUCAAGCCAGUUUUUUAGUUGACAGUUUUUGCCCUCGACGUUGGAUCGCUUAUAAGUUGCCUGUCUUGGUGUUUUCUGGUGGUGUUGCGGCUGCUUUUGUCCUCUUGCUAUGUGCAGCGACAUUGCAUUUUUGCUGCUAGUUUUUUAUUUUUAUUUUGUUGUAAUGUCCUAUAUUGUUUAUGAGAUUUGUAACUAGUUUUUGGAUCAAUAUAUGUUUUGGCCAUUUAGUCUUUUAUGAUUCUAGUGUUAUAGUCCGGUCAAUAUGGAGUUUUUGUUUGUAUAUGUUUUGGCCACUUAGUCUUAUGUGAUUCUAGUGUCAAUAUUAGUGACUAGAUUGUGUUGUAACAAAUGGAUUGUGACUAUGUAUUUGAUUAUGAUUAAUGAAAAUCAAAGGUAUUUAUUUUUUAAAUUCCAGAG